CAGAAAUCAAAAAUGAAGCAAUAUCUCGACCGAUGCAUAAUGGAACAGGGAAGAAAGUUUAUAUCCUGCUCGACCGUUUUGCCACUUUAUGUUUGUUUUACCUUCGCCGGACAAGUACCUGCACGUACUAUUGCCAGCGUAGCGUGAAGAGCAACCACCCUGCCAGGAAAGUCCCAUCCACACGGCAAGAACUAUCAACCGGGAAGGUGAAUGGCUGCAUGAGAUGGGAACGGUGGGGUUGGCGAGCCCGAGACCAUCCUCACACGGGCCAUAAGAUGCAAGGAUGCAGGAAAGAAUCAGGCACGCAGUAAUUGAAUUUUCCAUAACUGCAGGAAUGGAAAUUGAAUUUUUACAAGCAUGUGAGAUAAAUUUAAAACGAUAUUUGCAACCCGAGCGUUUGGUUUCCAGUGGAACUUGUGAGACGCAUUAGGGCACGUGGUAUCGUUAAGGAGGAGAGUUCUGGAGGAUUUUUUGCUCUAAUUGAUGUAUUCUAAGGAAUUGAGCCGUGCUUUUGGUGGACAAAUCCCCAUGCUUCCUAAAACCAACCACGGCAUCAUAUCAAUGUGCUUUUUGGCGAGUUUAGUGGUUGACUAAACAUGGUGACUCCCUUCGUGGAUAGCGGGAAGGAGUAUGGGCCAAACCUCAGGCGGCAACCAACGCUUUUGGCAGCGAUUGGAUUGAACCGAACCGAACCGUAACAGAUACGCUAAAUGAUGCCAACAUUUUAAUGAGUCUAUUUACGAUAACAUUUAUUGGCCGGGAAUCUUCCACGUCGGCGCCUUCACAUCAUUUGGGGGAAAGAAAAGAGCUUUGGCACACUUUCACCGCAUUUGCGGGAAAUAAGCAUAGCCCGAAGGAUGCACGCCACACACACGCCACGGAAGAAUAUUGACAAAUAAUAAUGCAGCCCUUGCUGCACGCGAAACUGUGGCCAUAACGAACAAAACCUCAAAAGAGCUCAUCACCACCGGGCGGAAGUACCGUGCUUUGCUUUUCUGCUGCAGUGUGUUCGCUACGAAUAUGCAUCCCCAGUGCUCCAAUACCAACUCAAUCGCUGACAGAAACACCGCUGACAGGCCAAUCGUCGGAAGUGGCAUUGGCUGUAUGUGAAAUUGCAGCAACGUUCCGGAGACACAUUUCGGGAAAGGAGCAUAAAAAUAUAUCUACAAAGCAGGCACGCAGACACGCAGAGGUGGCGCAGGGCUUAGAUUUAAAUCUCAAUUUCGCUUACCGGAAAGAAGGCACCGGAAAUAAAGAUGACACGAUGACGUUGGAAGCCUGCGACAGUGGCACUGGGAA